GACGAACGCUGGCGGCGUGCUUAACACAUGCAAGUCGAACGGAAAGGCCCUGCUUUUGUGGGGUGCUCGAGUGGCGAACGGGUGAGUAACACGUGAGUAACCUGCCCUUGACUUUGGGAUAACUUCAGGAAACUGGGGCUAAUACCGGAUAGGAGCUCCUGCUGCAUGGUGGGGGUUGGAAAGUUUCGGCGGUUGGGGAUGGACUCGCGGCUUAUCAGCUUGUUGGUGGGGUAGUGGCUUACCAAGGCUUUGACGGGUAGCCGGCCUGAGAGGGUGACCGGCCACAUUGGGACUGAGAUACGGCCCAGACGCCUACGGGAGGCAGCAGUGGGGAAUAUUGCACAAUGGGCGGAAGCCUGAUGCAGCAACGCCGCGUGCGGGAGGACGGCCUUCGGGUUGGAAACCGCUUUCGCCUGUGACGAAGCGUGAGUGACGGGAAUGGGGAAAGAAGCACCGGCUAACUACGG
rnacentral:rRNA from 1 species